rnacentral:rRNA from 1 species
GUAGGUUGCAAGCGUUGUCCGGAUUUACUGGGUGUAAAGGGAGCGUAGACGGUGAUGCAAGUCUGAAGUGAAAGGCAUGGGCUUAACCCGUGGACUGCUUUGGAAACUGUAUAACUGGAGUGCAGGAGAGGUAAGUGGAAUUCCUAGUGUAGCGGUGAAAUGCGUAGAUAUUAGGAGGAACACCAGUGGCGAAGGCGGCUUACUGGACUGUAACUGACGUUGAGGCUCGAAAGCGUGGGGAGC